UACGGAGGGUGCGAGCGUUGUCCGGAAUCACUGGGCGUAAAGGGCGCGUAGGUGGCGCGGCAAGUCAACGGUGAAAGCUCGACGCUCAACGUCGAGUCGGCCGUCGAUACUGCCGCGCUCGAGCACUGUAGAGGCAGAUGGAAUUCCGGGUGUAGCGGUGGAAUGCGUAGAGAUCCGGAAGAACACCGGUGGCGAAGGCG
rnacentral:rRNA from 1 species